UCACCACCGACGGCUCUCAUAAAGAUGGUCUUUACUUCAUUGGGAUCGAAUUUAGGAGGCAUCUUGGGUUGUGGCUGUGGGAUCAAGCAAGAGUGAUUCUGUGUGUCCAAAGGGAAGACCAAACAACAGUCACAACCCUACCCUAAAGAUUUAAGGAGAUGGUAGUUAAUUCUCAAAAUUUAAAUAGACUAAGUAAACAUGAAAUUUAGAGCUCAAUUUAUGUUCAAUUGACUACUUUGAUCUUCGGGUAACAUUUAAAAAAUCAAAUAUUUGGAAGAUAUUUGAAACGCAAGUUUUAUGUUUCCACUACAUAUGUAAAUAAGUCGUAAAUUGUACGCAGCCUCAAACCCAAAAUCGUAAGUCGUAGACACAGUUGAUUCUGAGGAGGUCAUUUUGUCCCCUUGAGACAUUGGAGAUAACCCAAGCACGGCCUCAUAAUAUUUAACGGCAUAGUGCUCUAAUCCAAUAAAAUGAUAUGCUUUUCCUAAAUUAUAAAGUGCCUCUUGCUUCUCUCCUAAACCUUCGUUAACCCGAAGAUCGUAAUACCUGUAUAAGAAUGUAAAUCCCUGAAGAAUUUGAUAAUGUCUAUUAUCUGACAGUCUCUGCAUUGCCCGAUGAAGGUAAGCCAAACCAAGUGAAAGAUUGGUAAUUGGACAAUCAGGAUUAAUUGCGAAAGCACGACUAUAGUAAUUAAUUGCAGGAAUCCAACUUCUAUUGCGAGCCAUAAUAUGACCAUAAAGUAAGACUAGCACAGGAUCAUAGGAUGUGGGAACGGUAGCCAAUCCAUCGUCGUUCUUUACCAGUGUAGCGGCUCCAGACACUAAGCUGUUGCUCAUUAACUGGUCCAUUAGCUUAAUAAGUCUAAGUAGAAAUUUUUGAUUUGCGCUAUCAACAAAAGCUCGCGAGCAUUCAUAUCCUUGACUUAAAACAGCUGAAAAAAGUCGGUAAGUGUCUUGCCGAAAUUGAAAAGUUGUGAAAACCCAACGCAAAGGAGUUAAUGCCCCUUGGGGAUCCCGUGCAUACAUGGAGCAUGCCAGCAUGCACCAACGUAAAUUCUGGCGUUUUAUGGUAUCUUGAUCAAACAGGAUUGCCCCCAUCGCUGUUGUCAGUACAUCAUAAGCUUGUUGGACAGAACCAACCUUUGUAAGUCUGAGAGAAAAUUCAACGAAUAAUUGAUACCACGCGUCGAUAGAGACGUUGCGAAAAUAGCCCGUUCUCAGUAUUGUAUCAAGAUCGAGAUCACCAUAUUUGGUUCUAGUAAGAGAAUCGUUUAGCCGAUUAAUCAUGCUAGUUAAUUGAUCAUUUAAGCUCGCAUACCGAGUACGUCGAGUCAGCAAUCCUGCUCUAGCUCUAGCUUUUUUCUCCGAUGGAAAGAAAGCUUUAAUACUCACAAACUCAUCGAUCAAUUCAGAAGCAAUUGCCAGCCAUUCAUUCAAACUUUCACUUACAUUUUCUUCCUUUUUGAGUGAUUGUCGCAGUAUAUCUAACUUAUGAAACCGUCUCUGAGUCUCUUCUGUCUUCCAAAUUGUAAACUGCCUAGCCUCUUCUUUAGACCUACUUAUCCUUGCUCUUUUUUCCCAUUUGUCUUGAGGUACUUUUUGAUUUCCAACGAAAAGUUGCGAACCGACGUUCUUUUCAUGGUCCUCAUUUUGGCUUUGCUCUCUUUCUAACUCAUUGAUGUUUCGUCUUUGUUCAAAUAUAUUCGUAACUAUUUCCAGUGCUGCAUCGCGGUUAUCCUGUAAUUCAUUAAUCUCUGCCAGCUUUAUCAAAGCAUUGGUAUUGCUAUUGUCAACGAUUAAAAUUGCCUCCAUACAUUGUUGAGCAUGUUCAUAUUCCUUAAGUUCCAAGUAGCAGACACCCAUGUUGUACCACAAUCCAAUGUUUUGAGCCGGCUCAUGGUUGCAUAUUAAUACAAAGUACUCCAAAGCUAAAUCUAAACGUUCAAUAUCCAUAUAAGCUUUCGCAAUAUCGUAAAGCAUUCCCCAAGCAUAAUCAGGAGGUAAAUUUUUAAUGACUGAGAAAUGCAACUCGGCCUCUGGAAGCUCCCCAGUUUUUAAUCUUGCAAUUCCAAGUUUUGUGCGAAAAAGAUGAGGAAGUAAAUAUGCCUCUUUAUUAGUAUGCUCUUCAGAUGCGUUAGGAAAUUCGCGUCUCCUCUCAUCCACAUCCCAUUCCCGGUCAUCAUCAAAUUCGUCCCAGAAAGACUCGGACUUACGGCCACGAAACCAUCGUACACCGCGAUUAAUUAAGCGGAUAAGAUUUGACCAUUGGUGGUCUAACAAUAAAAGUUCAGCAUAUAAGUUAAGAGUCGGUAAAUCGAAAAUGUCAUUUCCAAUAGGUGGAGCGGGGUAUUGAUAAAAAUAUUUCCAAGCAAUCUCGAACUGUUUUAAUAUUUCUCUUGGGGCAUGAAUUUUAAUGUAGAUCUCUGCUAGGUUUUUCAAUAUAGACGCGUUAUAUGGCGAAGAUUGAAGUAGGAAUUUAAAGCCUUCAGCUGCCUUUUUCAAGGAGCCAUGUUCCUUAUUUAGAACAGAUCUAUUCCAAAUGUAUUUUUUUAGUUCCGACUUAUUUGGAGGUUUCGCAGAGACGGCUCUGUUGUAACAAUAAUCUGCUUGAUCCCAAAACUCUAAGCUUUCGCUGAGUUUCGCACAGGUGAACCAAAGUUCAUGAUCUUUCGGCUUUAAAUGUGCAGCCGCCAUCCAAGCAAUUAAGCACUUUUCAAUAUUUACUCUUCCAUUACCCCUUUGACGAUGACAUUCACCAAGCAUUUUCCAAGCCGCAAUGACAUUAUUAUCAAUACGAACAAUCUCUUCAGCUAAUUUUUGGGCUUCGUCGAAGUUUCCUUCUUGCGCAAACAAAUGAUUCGCUAAACUCAACAUUUGUUGCACUUCCACCGAGGGAAGCAUAUCAGCUCGACUAACACGUCCUCGACCUUUAUGACCUUUACGGACUUUUCUAAAUCCAGCAACUGCCUUUAAAUUUUCUUCCCAUUCCUCGUUCGCAAUGUCGUCCUCGGUUCUUGAGGCUGUUUUACUAAAGUUUGAUUCAUCGUCACUGCCUUCAUAAUCUGACUCUUCGUCUGACCAAAGGCCCUCAGCUUGAAGGGCAGAGGUAUCUCCCAAAAAUUUUGCAUCAACUUCAGAUACAUUCCUAGCCUCAUCGACAAUUUCGCUUAUAUACCCGUUUAGAUCUUGCAUUUCAGCAUCAAAGUUGUCAGUUGUAUCAUUUUGCGUUUCAUUCAUAUUGGAAUCCACAUAGCUAUUUCCACCAUUUUGAAUCAUCCUUUAAGAUGCUCAAUCAUGCUUUCAAAUCGGUCUGUUCCUUUUGCCUACUUGAAGUUGGCUGUUUUCGCGUUGGCGUUGGUGAAGGCAAAGUUGAAGUAAGUCAUUAUAGAAGUACUCAAUAAACAAAGAGGUCAUGGGUACCACAUAUCUUGUUCUACAAUUGACUAAUUAAUAUGAAGUCAAUAAAUAUUAGUCCUUUUUUCCUGACACCAGUUAUUUUACUUGCAACAUUUUUGAAUUGCAAACUUGACAAUUUUGAUGUUGUCAAAAUACCUAAUAUCUGUAAGAAUUUGGAAGAUCCUAGUCAAUCAAAUAGUGUUUUUCACUUUUU